GGCAUCCUACGGGGCGCAGCAGUAGGGAAUCUUCCACAAUGGGGGAAACCCUGAUGCAGCAACGCCGCGUGAGUGAAGAAGGUUUUCGGAUUGUAAAGCUCUGUUAGCAGGGAAGAGGAAGGACGGUACCUGCAGAGGAAGCCACGGCUAACUACGUGCCAGCAGCCGCGGUAAUACGUAGGUGGCAAACGUUGUUCGGAAUAACUGGGCGUAAAGGAUGCGUAGGCGGUUAAACAAGUUAUAUGUUAAAUAUAUAGGCUUAACCUGUAGAAAGCAUAUAAAACUGUUUAACUAGAGUGCAGGAG
rnacentral:rRNA from 1 species